rnacentral:rRNA from 1 species
UACGAAGGGGGCUAGCGUUGCUCGGAAUUACUGGGCGUAAAGCGUGCGCAGGCGGCUUUGCAAGACAGAUGUGAAAUCCCCGGGCUUAACCUGGGAACUGCAUUUGUGACUGCAUGGCUGGAGUGCGGCAGAGGGGGAUGGAAUUCCGCGUGUAGCAGUGAAAUGCGUAGAUAUGCGGAGAAACACCGAUGGCGAAGGCAAUCCCCUGGGCCUGCACUGACGCUCAUGCACGAAAGCGUGGGGAGCAAACAGG